rnacentral:rRNA from 1 species
UACGAAGGGGACUAGCGUUGUUCGGAAUUACUGGGCGUAAAGCGCACGUAGGCGGCUUCUUAAGUCAGGGGUGAAAUCCUGGAGCUCAACUCCAGAACUGCCUUUGAUACUGAGAAGCUUGAGUCCGGGAGAGGUGAGUGGAACUGCGAGUGUAGAGGUGAAAUUCGUAGAUAUUCGCAAGAACACCAGUGGCGAAGGCGGCUCACUGGCCCGGUACUGACGCUGAGGUGCGAAAGCGUGGGGAGCAAACAGG